rnacentral:rRNA from 1 species
GACGAACGCUGGCGGCGUGCCUAAUACAUGCAAGUAGAACGCACAGUUUAUACCGUAGCUUGCUACACCAUAGACUGUGAGUUGCGAACGGGUGAGUAACGCGUAGGUAACCUGCCUGGUAGCGGGGGAUAACUAUUGGAAACGAUAGCUAAUACCGCAUAAUAUUAAUUAUUGCAUGAUAAUUAAUUGAAAGGUGCAAUUGCACCACUACCAGAUGGACCUGCGUUGUAUUAGCUAGUAGGUGAGGUAACGGCUCACCUAGGCGACGAUACAUAGCCGACCUGAGAGGGUGAUCGGCCACACUGGGACUGAGACACGGCCCAGACUCCUACGGGAGGCAGCAGUAGGGAAUCUUCGGCAAUGGACGAAAGUCUGACCGAGCAACGCCGCGUGAGUGAAGAAGGUUUUCGGAUCGUAAAGCUCUGUUGUAAGAGAAGAACGGAUGUGAGAGUGGAAAGUUCACACUGUGACGGUAUCUUACCAGAAAGGGACGGCUAACUACGUG